GUCCUCACUUUGGCAGCAUACAUACUAAAAUUAGACUGAUACAAAGAAGAUUACUGUGUCUCUGCAUAAGGAUGGCAUGCAAAUUCAUGAGGUAUUUCAUAAUUUA
ensembl:snRNA Gm23535 U6 spliceosomal RNA